rnacentral:misc_RNA from 1 species
AUCGACAUUUCGAACGCACAUUGCGGUCCUCGGAUACUGUUCCUGGACCACUCCUGGCUGAGGGUCGCGUCCAUCAGACUGCCGGACUUUCGUCUCUCGGGACGGAGGUUCGCGCGAAAUUGGGAGCUCGCACUUGCGGACCUUUCGGUCCGGAGGCGUCUCCUCAAAUCAGUGUACGGUCGUUUCCGAAAGGUGCGACUAAGAGCGUCCGCGCUUUGCGCGAGGACGGUUCCGCACCUAACGGCGGGCCGCCCGGCUGACGUGUCCUAGACUACUAUGCUAGAAGACGUCUGGCCGUGUGUUCGGUCCCUCGGUGGAACUAUACAACGUCCUCGUNGCAUACUCGACGGCGCGACG